UAUUCGUGCAAGUAAACUUUGCAUCGCUUUAUUCUGGAAAACAAAAAAAAAUCCUGCUGAGGAAGAGCUGACUUAUUGACUGAGCUAAAAUGCGAGUUUAAAGGUAAAGAUGCUGAAAUUUACCGCGCACCGGAGACACACCGGAGUUUUCUUCAUGAGCAAAAAUGAUCCUAUCCAUAAUGCUGUCAUUCCUGAAUAAAAAUCAUAUGAGCUGCAAAUCUUCAGUUGCUUCCAUCGCUUUGCCAGGAGAUAUUAUAUUCGUAUAUGAACGGAUGAGUCCGCCGGAGUCCGCAUGAAUA